rnacentral:rRNA from 1 species
AGCAGCCGCGGUAAUUCCAGCUCCAAUAGCGUAUAUUAAAGUUGUUGCAGUUAAAAAGCUCGUAGUUGAAUUUCGGGGUUAGUAGGUCGGUCAUGCCUCAGGUAUGUACUGGUUUCACUGAUUCCUCCUUCCUGAUGAGCCGUAAUGCCAUUAAUUUGGUGUUGCGGGGAAUCUGGACUGUUACUUUGAAAAAAUUAGAGUGUUUAAAGCAGGCUAACGCUUGAAUACAUUAGCAUGGAAUAAUGGAAUAGGACGUUCGAUCCUAUUUUGUUGGUUUCUAGGAUUGACGUAAUGAUUAAUAGGGAUAGUUGGGGGCAUUAGUAUUCAAUUGUCAGAGGUGAAAUUCUUGGAUUUAUUGAAGACUAACUACUGCGAAAGCAUUUGCCAAGGAUGUUUUCAUUAAUCAAGAACGAAAGUUAGGGGAUCGAAGACGAUCAGAUACCGUCGUAGUCUUAACCAUAAACCUAUGCCGACUAGGGAUCGGAUGAUGUUAAUUUUUUAAUGUACUCAUUCGGCUACC